CCUACGGGGGGCUGCAGUGGGGAAUAUUGGACAAUGGGGGCAACCCUGAUCCAGCCAUGCCGCGUGUGUGAAGAAGGCCCUCGGGUUGGAAAGCACUUUCAGUGAGGAAGAACGCCUGGUGGUUAAUACCCAUCAGGAAAGACAUCACUCACAGAAGAAGCACCGGCUAACUCCGUGCCAGCAGCCGCGGUAAUACGGAGGGUGCGAGCGUUAAUCGGAAUUACUGGGCGUAAAGCGCGCGUAGGUGGCUUGAUAAGCCGGUUGUGAAAGCCCCGGGCUCAACCUGGGAACGGCAUCCGGAACUGUCAAGCUAGAGUGCAGGCGAGGAAGGUAGAAUUCCCGGUGUAGCGGUGAAAUGCGUAGAGAUCGGGAGGAAUACCAGUGGCGAAGGCGGCCUUCUGGACUGACACUGACACUGAGGUGCGAAAGCGUGGGUAGCAAACAGGAUUAGAUACCCCAGUAGUC
rnacentral:rRNA from 1 species